GCAGUGGUGGUUCAGUGGUAGGAUUCUCGCCUUCUAUGUGGGAGACCUGGGUUCGAUUCCUAGCCAGUGCA
rnacentral:tRNA from 1 species